GACGAACGCUGGCGGCGUGCUUAACACAUGCAAGUCGAACGGAAAGGCCCUGCGUUUGUGCGGUGCUCGAGUGGCGAACGGGUGAGUAACACGUGAGUAACCUGCCCUUGACUUUGGGAUAACUUCACGAAACUGGGGCUACUACCGGAUAGGAUCUGCUGCUGCAUGGUGGGCGUUGGAAAGUUUCGGCGGGUGGGGUUGGACGCGCGGCUUAUGAGCUUGUUGGUUGGGUAGUGGUUUACCAAGGCAUUGACGGGUAGGCGGCCUGAGAGGGUGGACGGGCACAAUGGGACUGCGAGAGGGCGCAGACGGGUACAGGAGGCAGCGGUGGGGAGUAUUAUACAGUGGGAGGAAGCCUGAGGAAGAAACGCCGGGUGCGGGAUGACGGCCUUUGGGUUGUGAACAGCAUCCGCCUAAGACGAAGCGUUUGUGACGGUAAUGGGUAAAGAAGCACCGGCUAACUACGUG
rnacentral:rRNA from 1 species